rnacentral:rRNA from 1 species
UACGUAGGGUGCGAGCGUUAAUCGGAAUACUGGGCGUAAAGCGUGCGCAGGCGGUGAUGUAAGACCGAUGUGAAAUCCCCGGGCUUAACCUGGGAACUGCAUUGGUGACUGCAUUGCUGGAGUAUGGCAGGAGGGGGGUGGAAUUCCACGUGUAGCAGUGAAAUGCGUAGAGAUGUGGAGGAAUACCGAUGGCGAAGGCAGCCCCCUGGGAUAACACUGACGCUCAUGCACGAAAGCGUGGGGAGCGAAACAGG